GACAGAGGGGGCAAGCGUUGCUCGGAAUUACUGGGCGUAAAGGGCGCGUAGGCGGGAUGGCAAGUCGGUCGUGAAAUCCUUCGGCUCAACCGAAGAACGUCGAUCGAUACUGCUGUUCUUGAGGGUUGCAGAGGAGACUGGAAUUCCCGGUGUAGCGGUGAAAUGUGUAGAGAUCGGGAGGAACACCGGUGGCGAAGGCGGGUCUCUGGGCUAACACUGACGCUCAUGCACGAAAGCGUGGGGAGCAAACAGG
rnacentral:rRNA from 1 species